AGUGAACGCUGGCGGUAGGCCUAACACAUGCAAGUCGAACGGCAGCACAGUAAGAGCUUGCUCUUACGGGUGGCGAGUGGCGGACGGGUGAGGAAUACAUCGGAAUCUACUUUUUCGUGGGGGAUAACGUAGGGAAACUACGCUAAUACCGCAUACGACCUACGGGUGAAAGCAGGGGAUCUUCGGACCUUGCGCGAUUGAAUGAGCCGAUGGCGGAUUAGCUAGUUGGCGGGGUAAAGGCCCACCAAGGCGACGAUCCGUAGCUGGUCUGAGAGGAUGAUCAGCCACACUGGAACUGAGACACGGUCCAGACUCCUACGGGAGGCAGCAGUGGGGAAUAUUGGACAAUGGGCGCAAGCCUGAUCCAGCCAUACCGCGUGGGUGAAGAAGGCCUUCGGGUUGUAAAGCCCUUUUGUUGGGAAAGAAAAGCAGCAGGUUAAUACCCCGCUGUUCUGACGGUACCCAAAGAAUAAGCACCGGCUAACUUCGUG
rnacentral:rRNA from 1 species